AUAGUAUAUGAACUAAAGACGAGGAAAGAGAUUUGAACUGAAAUCAAUGUCACUGACCAAGACUAACCUAAUUGCUAAUGUUAUUGAGACACUCACUGCCGUGCGAUGGAUGGACAGACUGACGUCGCGUGGCAGUUCUUUCACUUGCAGUUUCAGGCUUGCUUGCUUUGGAGGGACUAUUUUGUAGGGUUGCGCACUACGGACAACAGUGAGUGAGAUAGAAUUAGGGUUUCCGUUCUAAUAAUACGGAAUUUGGUGUAAGAGUUUUUAACACUUGUAUUAUUGGAUCGGACAUUACAUGACGAUGAACCUGUUAUAUAUGUAAGGUGCUAUCGAGAAGAAGAGAGCUGGUUUGUGUGUUCCGGCACACGGGCUAUGUGGUUCGGAAGCCCAUACUGAAGUUUUUCUCCGACUUCGCAUGUUAGUCUUUGCAGUUUCAUGGAUUAUGGUUCAACACCGUAGGAGCUUUGAGAACUGAAGCAGAUUUAAGAGUGAACUUUAUAAGAUCAUGGGCCGGUUCAAGAACUUGUUUGUUGAUUUCAUGGAGAAAUUGAAAGUUUCAAUCACAA